AACCUCAAAAAAAAAGAUGUGAGAAAGAGGGUUGGGAAAGCUGACAGAUCUGCUAUGGCAGAGCUUCUAAAGAAGAAAAAGACUGAAUACCAGCGGAACCAUGAAGCACACACAACAAGCAAAUUUCCCUGCACUUCCAUGGGAAAAGUA